UACAGAGGUCUCAAGCGUUGUUCGGAUUCAUUGGGCGUAAAGGGUGCGUAGGUGGCGCGCUAAGUCAGGUGUGAAAUUUCGGAGCUUAACUCCGAAACUGCAUUUGAUACUGGCGUGCUUGAGGACUGGAGAGGAGACUGGAAUUCAUGGUGUAGCAGUGAAGUGCGUAGAGAUCAUGAGGAAGACCAGUGGCGAAGGCGGGUCUCUGGACAGUUCCUGACACUGAGGCACGAAGGCCAGGGGAGCAAACAGG
rnacentral:rRNA from 1 species